rnacentral:ncRNA from 1 species
UGUUCUCAGGGCGGGGUGAAACUCCCCACCGGUGGUAUGUGGGAAAGCUCCCACAAGCCCACGAGCGGCCCCUUAGUGGGGUGACAGCAGAUCUGGUGCGAGGCCAGAGCCGACGGUGAUAUUCUGGAUGAAAGAGAGCG